UACGUAGGUGGCAAGCGUUGUCCGGAUUUACUGGGCGUAAAGAGCGCGCAGGCGGUCGUUCAAGUCGCGUGUGAAAGCCCCCGGCUCAACUGGGGAGGGUCACGCGAUACUGAUCGACUCGAAGGCAGGAGAGGGUAGUGGAAUUCCCGGUGUAGAGGUGAAAUUCGUAGAUAUCGGGAGGAACACCGGUGGCGAAGGCGGCGACCUGGGUAGAUACUGACGCUGAGGUGCGAAAGCGUGGGGAGCAAACAGG
rnacentral:rRNA from 1 species